GGGGCCAUAGCUCAAUUGGGAGAGCGCAACGCUGGCAGUGUUGAGGUCGGCGGUUCGAUCCCGCCUGGCUCCACCA
rnacentral:tRNA from 1 species